GGACCAUCUCACAACCUUUUGUGCCUUCCAGAAAUCUGGACCAUCUCACAACCCCCAGAGUCUCAGCUACAAGGAACAAGUGAUAAUGCCAUCCCACUUUUAUAAACACACACACACACACAUGCAACACACACACAAUCAUUUAAUCAUUUUUAAUUAAUUAUUUUUUAAAAAUCAGUGACACUUUAGCUGGGCAGGUCUAGGUAGGUCUUCUUUGCUGGGACGUGUCUUUUUCUGUCCCGGAAUACCCUAAACUUGACAUUUUGGCAGCGUGAGUUUUCCCUUUGUGACUUUCUCCUUCUUCCCUUUUUUCCUCCUUCUUUGCAGAGAAUGAGUAGCCACUGUGCCUUGCCCUGCGCCAUCAAUGAGAAGAUCUGUCUUAGUAGAGCCCUGCUUUCCCGCUGAAGGCCCUGAAAUUACCUGUGUUCCAGGCCACCCACUAAGGAUAAACAAAGCUUCCCUGAUAUGGGGAAUUAGCCCAAGUGGUAGAGCGCUUGCUUAGCAUGCAAGAGGUAGUGGGAUCGAUGCCCACAUUCUCCAAGCUUUAUUAUUUAGGUACCCAAACCCGAGUCAGUGUCUGAGAGCAAGACACUGCUCUCAGUGUCUUUGGUUCAAGACAUAGGAGCAGCAACAAUACAGGACUGGUGACAGCUUCCUGCUGGCAUUCAGUAUAGUGUAGAUCUACUGUGUAAUUCAUUUGCUGUUUCUUCAAGGAGCUGUGAAACCAAGGGACAUAUAAAACUGCUCUUUUCUCCCUGAUUCUGCCUGCAGCUUGGUCCUAAAUGUGAGACAAUUGUGAAAAGUGGAGGACAGAGCCACCUGGUUAAAUACAGCCCCGGCUUUCUGGUGAGAGGAUUGAAACCAAGAUGUGUCAAGUAACUAGAAUGUGCCUGGACAGAUACUGUAGAAAGCAAACCCAUAAAGUUGUUCAUGAGCUUGUGGACACACCUGCCAGCUGUGAAUAAGUGGCUCUAAUCCCAAACAACUUACCUAAAAAGAGCCUGAGAGCUGAACUGUGCAAUGGCCCACUUUCCAGUCCUCACUGACCACUGGGUUGCACACACUUUGGAGAUCUCUGAACAGCAGUGUCAAGCCUUUCAAAUAGAGUUAUCUUCGAAACGACAACACAUGGAAGUCUGGUUGAUACUUGGAGCUUAAAUACAAGGCAAUUGUGUACCUGCAAAAACAAAAAUAGCAAUAUUAUCCUUAAGAUUUCAGCAAGACACAGUGUCUCAUCACAUAAUCCAAAGAAGUCCAGGUUACAAGCCCCAAAAUAUUCAGCAUUAUGAAAAAACAGGGAGAUCUUAAUUCACAUGGCAAAGAGAAUCCUCGAAUAACAAUAUUGAGAGGACACAGAUGUCAAAAUCAUCUGACACAUACUUUAAAGCAGAUAUUAUAACAAUGCUCCUAGAAUCGGGGAUAACAUUGGUGAAGUGAAUGGAAAGUUGGAAAGUCUAACCAAAUAUUUCGAAUAUAUAAACACCAAUUUAAACUUAAGAAUUAAAAAAAUGUAUUAACCAAAACUCUUAGGGGAAAUAAAAAGCUUAAUUGGAGGAUCUCCAUAAUAGAAUGCAGAAGACUAAGGAAAAAGUCAAUGAACUUGAAAACAGAACACGAAUACCUACAUAAUCUGAACUAUAGAGAGAAAGGAGGAUUUUAUUGUCUCUGAACAGAGGCUCAGGGACAAAUAAAAAAUAACAAAUCCAACAUUCACAUUAUUGUAAUCUGGAAAGAAGAGGACAAAGUGGUCUUUGUGGGAUAAAACUUUGAACAAUUAAUAGCUGAAAAUGGUUCAAAUUUGUCAAAAGAUAUAAACCAGAUUUUUAAAGUUCAGUAAAUGUCAAUCAGGAUAAACCCAAAGAAACCCAUAGCAAGGCAUAUCAUAAUCAAACUGCUGAAAACUAAGAAAAUACAAAACAAUUUUGAAAGCAGCCAAAGGGAAAUGAAAGAGAAACUACCAUAUGAAUGAUUGUAGAUUUCGCAUCAGGAACCAUAGGGGCCAGAAAAAAUGUCAUAACAUUCGGUAAGUAACAAAAGAAAAAGACAUAUCGACCCAGAAUGCUAUGUGGAGCAAAAGUAUCUUCCAGACAUAAAGGCAAAUAAAUGCAUUCUCAGUGGAAGGUAAGUAAAUACAUUCUCAUUCUUAGGAAGACUGCUGGAAAAGAAUUGGCAAAGAUUUGAGAUAAGAAAAAUGAUACCAGAAGGAAACUUAGAACAUCAUCAGUGAAGGAACAAAAGCAGAAAUAGAAAAUGUCUGGGUAGACAUAACAGACUAUUAUUCUUCCCUUGAGUUCCUUAAGGUAUGUUUGAUGAUUGAAAGCAAAAAUUGUAACUUUAUCAGAAGCAGUUGUCAUUAUAUCCAGAUGUACUACAUACAUAAGAUAAAAGGGUAAGUGUAAUGGGACUAACUCUUGAUGAAGUUUCUUUAUUCAACUUGAAUGGUAAAAUAUUGAUUCUAAGUACACUGUGAAAGGUUAUAUAUGUAUAUGGUAAACCCUAGACCACCUACUAACAAGAUUUAAGUAAACCAAAACAAGAUAGAAAGAGGAACAUAGAUGAAUUAAAACAAAGGGAAACAAGGUUAAUAAAUUAUUAAAUAAUAGACCUAUCUAAAAACUUAUCUAUAAUGACAUUACAUGUAAAUAAUCUAAAUGCAUUAAUUAAAAACUAGAGAUCAUCAGAAUGUGUUAAAAAUAAAUAUGCUGACUAAAGAAAGCCACCUGCUAUACACUUAUAUAUAAGAAUAAAAGUUAUAGAGCAGAUUGAAAGAAAAGAGUGGGAAAAGAUACCUCAUGCAAGCACUAAUCAAAGACAGCUGUGGUGUAUAUAUAAAAAAUCAGGCAAAGUAGAUUUGAAAGCAGAGAAACUUUUCAGGAAUAAUGAGGGCUGCUAAAUAAUUACGAUUGUCAAUUUUCCAGGGGAAUAUUGUCCCAAGUGUAUAUGAGAACACAGAGUUUCAAAACUCAUAAAAAAAAUUGGAUACGCAAGGUAAAAACAGAAAAAUCCAAUUAUAGUUGCCAACACUAACACUCCUCUCUCAGUAAUUGGUAGACUUAGUAGAAAACAAAUCAGCAAACAUAUUGGAGAAUUAAACCAUACCAUCCAGUAAUGGACCUAUUAACUUCAUAAUGCAAAAUAAAAAUUUAGGUAGAAGGCAAAGACAAAAAUUAAAAGAAAAGUAAGAUCAUGUCAUAACCAGGAAAUUAAGAGUAGUCCAGCAUAUAGAAGAGUGCUAUUAUUGGAAGAGUUAUUUAGUUAUUUUGAGACAUUUUUUGAAAGAGUUAUUUAGCUGGAAAUGACAGAAAGACUGAAAAUGGUGCAUCUGGAGGUGGAUCUUCCCUUGUCCAUAUUUAUUUUGUCUUUUUUUGAGGUCUAGGGUGUCUAUACUUCCUCUGAAUUACCUACAGUGUCUGACACAGAGCAUCUCCCCAGUGAAUAUGUACUAAAUGAGUAGAAAGUAAUUUAUAGAUUCAGAAGAGUUGUGCAAGAAUAAUGUUCAUUAUUUGACAAAUCCUUGAAUGUAGUGUUUGAAGGAAGACAAUAAGUCAAAGUUGACUUGAAAGGUAAGCCCAAGUCCAGACUCUUUUCUGUAAUCCCAGCACUUUGAGAGGCCAAGAUGGGCAGAUCCCGUGACACCAGGAGUUUGAGACCAGCCUGGACAACACAGUGAAACCCUGUCUCUACAAAAAAUACAAAAAUUAGCCAGGUGUGGUGGUAUGCAUCUGUAGUUCCAGCUACUCAGGAGGCUGAGGUGGGAGGAUCACUUGAAUCCGGGAGGCGGAGGUUUCAGUGAACAGAGAUCGCACCGGUGCCUGGACAACAAAGUGAGACCCUGUCAUAAAAUAAAAUAAAAUAAAAUAAAAUAAAAUAAUAAAAUAAAAUAAAAUAGUUAAACCCAGGCCGGGAGGGGUAGCUCACACAUGUAAUCACAGCACUUUGGGAGGCUGAGGUGGGCGGAUCACCUGAGGUCAGGAGUUUGAGACCAGCCUGGCCAACAUGGUGAAACCCCGUCUCUACUAAAAAUACAAAAAUUAGCUGGGCGUGGUGGCAAGCACCUGUAGUCCCAGCUACUCAGGAGGCUGAGACAGGAGAAUUACUUGAACCCGGGAGACAGAGGUUGCUAUGAGCCAAGAUCUCACCAGUGCAGUACAGCAUGGGUGACAGAGCGACACUCUGUCAAAAAAAAAAAAAAAAAAAAAAAAAAAAAAACUCCAAAAAGUAAGUAAAGAGGAGGUUUGGAAUUAGAUAUUUGGUGUAUGAAUGAAUGGGCUAAAGUGCAAAAGAACAGGCAGAAUAACUGAGCUGGUACAGAGGAAAAAAAUCACACUUAAAAUCUAAAAAUAUCUGCUUCUCAAUUUGGGCUUUCCCACUUAGCAGCUUUGGCACCUUAGAAAGAACACUUAACUUACCUGAGCUUCUAUUACUUCUAAAAAGUGCAUAAAGUGCAGGCUAAGACAUAGUUUUUUGGCAAAAUUCAGUCAGACUACAUCAAGUAAACUCCCUAAGUCUCCUAGUAUAAUUCAUGGCACAAAAACUGGGGAAAAAACAGGGAGGAUAUGAUUAUAAGUUCAGUUUGUGUUUUUUGUUGAGUGAAUGUCUCCAGCCAUAGAGAUGCAAGUGUAGAUACACAGUAAGAGUAGUAUGAAUGGCAGACACCUUGGAAGGCUAUUUCUUCCUUCAUUCAUUCAGUUGGUCACUCAAUGAACUAUCAUGAAUUGAGCACUACCUCUGUUUCUUAUCAACAAAGGAGACUACGGAAAAGAAGAGUGACUAAGAUCUCUGAAGAAGGGAAAAGCUAGAUGACUGGGCCACAAGAGGAAAAAAAGCAGCAAGACAGAGAAUGAGUAGCCACUGCACCUUGCCCUGGGCCAUCAGUGAGAAGAUCUGCUCUUAGUAGAGCCCUGCUUUCCCGCUGAAGGCCCUGAAAUCCCCUGUGUUCCAGGCCACCCACUAAGGAUCAGUAAAGCUCCCCUGAUGUGGGGGAAUUAGCGCAAGUGGUAGAGUGCUUGCUUAGCAUGCAAGAGGUAGUGGGAUCGAUGCCCACAUUCUCCAAACUUUAUUAUUUAGACCCUGGGUCUCCAAACACUCAGGUCUCCAAACCCAAGUCAGAGAGCAGGAUGCUGCUUUGGUUCAAGAUGUAGGAGCAGCAACAAUACAGGGCUGGUGACAGCUCCCUCCUGGCAUUCAGUAUAGUGUAGAUCUACCGUGUAAUUGAUUUUCUGCUUCUUUGAGGAGCUGUGAAACCAAGGGACAUAAACAAUUGCUCUUUUCUCCCUGUUUCUGCCUGUAGCUUGAAUGUGAGGCAACUGUGAAAAGUGCAGGGCAGAGCCACCUGGGUAAAUACAGCCCUGGCUUUCUGGUGAGAGGACUGAAACCAGGAUGUGUCAAGUAACUAGAAUGUGCCUGGACAGAUACUGUAGAAAGCAAACCCAUAAAGUUGUUCAUGAGCUUGUGGAUGCACCUGCCAGCUGUGAAUAAGUGGCUCUAAUCCCAAACAACUUACCUAAAAAGAGCCUGAGGACUGAACUGAACAAUGGUCCACUUUCCAGUCCUCACUGACCACUGGUUGCACACACUCCAGAGAUCUCUCAACCGCAGUGUCAAGGCUUUCAAAUAGAGUUAUCUGUGAAACGACAACACAUGGAAGUCUGGUUGGUACUUGGAGCUUAAAUACAAGGCAACUGUGUGCCUGCAAAAACAAAAAUAUCAAUAUUAUCCUUAAGAUUUCAACAAGACACAGUGUCUCAUCACAUAAUCCAAAGAAGUCCAGGUUACAAGCCCCAAAAUAUUCAGCAUUAUGAAAAACCAGGGAGAUCUUAACUCACAUGGCAAAGAGAAUCCUUGAAUAACAAUAUUGAGAGGACACAUAUGUCAAAAUCAUCUGACACAUACAUUAAAGCAGUUAUUAUAACAAUGCUCCUAGAAUUACGGGAUAGCAUUCAUGAAGUGAAUGGAAAGUUGGAAAGUCUCACCAAAUAUUUGGAAUAUGUAAACACCAAUUUAAACUUAAGAAUUAAAAAAAGUAUUAACCAAAACUAUUAGGGGAAAUAAAAUGCUUAAUUGGAUGAUCUCAAUAGCAGUAUGCAAAAGACUAAGGAAAGAGUCAAUGAACUUGAAAACAGAACAAGAAUACCUACAUAAUCUGACCUAUAGAAAGAAAGGAGGAUUUUAUUGUCCCUGAACAGAGGCUCAGGGACAAAUAAAAAAUAACAAAUCUAACAUUCACAUUAUUGUAAUCUGGAAACAUUCACAUUAUUGUAAGAGGACAAAGAGGUCUUUGUGGGAUAAAACUGUGAAGAAUUAAUGGCUGAAAAUAUAUCAAAUUUGUCAAAAGAUAUAAACCAGAUUUUUAAAGUUCAGUAAAUGUCAAGCAGGAUAAACCAAGAGAAACCCAUUGCAAGACAUAUCAUAAUCAAACUGCGGAAAAUUAAGAAAAUACAAAACAAUUUUGAAAGCAGCCAAAGGGAAAUAAAAGAUAAAAUACCAAAUGAAUGAUUGUAGAUUUCUCAUCAGGAACCCAGGAGCCAGAAAAAAAUGUCAUAACAUUCAGUAAGUACCAAAGGAAAAAUACAUUAUCAACCCAGAAUGGUAUGUGGAGCAAAAGUAUCUUCCAGACAUAAAGGCAAAUAAAUACAUUCUCAUUGGAAGGUAAAUAAAUACAUUCUCAGUCCUAGCAAAACUGCUGGAAAAGAAUUAGCAAAGGUUUGAGAUAAGAAAAGUGAUACCAGAAGGAAACUUAGAACAUCAUCAGUGAAGGAACAAAAGCAGAAAUAGAAAAUGUCUGGGUAGACAUAACAGACUAUUAUUCUUCUCUUGAGUUCCUUAAGGUAUGUUUGAUGGUUGAAAGCAAAAAUUGUAACUUUAUCUGAUGCAGUUGUCAUUGUAUCUAGAUGUACUACAUACAUAAGAUAAAAGGGUAAAUGUAAUGGGACUAACUCUUGAUGAAGUUUCUAUAUUCAACUUGAAUGGUAAAAUAUUGAUUCUAAGUAUACUGUGAAAAGUUAUAUAUGUAUAUGGUAAUCCCUAGACCACUUACCAACCAGAUUGAAAUAAACCAAAACAAGAUAGACAGAGGAACAUAGAAGAAUUAAAACAAAGGGAAAAAAGGUUAAUAAAUUAUUAAAUAGUAGAUCUAUCUAAAAACUUAUCUAUAAUAGCAUUAUACGUAAAUUAUCUAAAUGCAUUAAGUAAAAACUAGAGAUCAUCAGAAUGUGUUAAAAAUAAAUAUGCUGACUAAAGAAAGCCACCUACAAUACACUUAUAAAUAAGAAUAAAAGUUAUAUAGCAGCUUGAAAGAAAAGAGUGGGAAAAGAUACCUCAUGCAAGCAUUAAUCAAAGACAGCUGUGGUGUAUAUAUAUAAAAUCAGACAAAGUAGAUUUGAAAGCAGAGAAACUUUUCAGGAAUAAUGAGGCCUCCUAAAUAAUUAUGAUUGUCAAUUUUUCAGGAGAAUAUUGUCCCAAAUGUAUAUGAGGACACAGAGCUUCAAAACUCAUAAACAAAAUUGGAUACGCCAAGUUAAAAUAGAAAAAUCCAGUUAUAGUUGCAGUCAUUAACACUCCUCUCUCAGUAAUUGGAAGAUUUAGUAGAACACAAAUCAACAGACAUACUGGAGAAUUGAACCAUGCCAUCCAGUAAUGGACCUAUCAAUUUCAUAAUGCAAAAUAAAAAUUCAGGUAGAAAGCAAAGACAAAAAUUAAAAGAAAAGCAAGAUCAUGUUAUAAUCAGAAAAUUAAGAGUAGUCCAGCAUAUAGAAGGGUGCUAUUAUUGAAAGAGUUUGAAAUAGUGACUUAGUUAUUUUGAAACAUUUUUGAAGGCGUUAUUUAGCUGGAAAUGACAGAAAGACUGAAAAUGGUGAAUCUGGAGGUGGAUCUUCCCUUGUCCAUAUUUAUCUUGUCUUCGUUUGAGGUCUGGGGUGUCUGUACUUCCUCUGAAUUACCUGAUCUUACUACAGUGUCUGGCACAGAGCAUCUCCCCAGUGAAUAUGUACUAAAUGAGUAGAAAGUAAUUGAUAGAUUCAAAAGACUUGUGCAAGAAUAAUGUUCAUUAUUUGACUAAUCACUGAAUGUGGUGUUUGAAGGAAGACAAUGAAUCAAAGUUGACUUGAAAGGUAAGCCCAAGGCCAGACGUGGUGGCUCAUUUCUGUAAUCCCAGCACUUUGGGAGGCCGAGAUCAGUGGAUCCCUUGACACCAGGAGUUUGAGACCAGCCUAGGCAACACAGUGAAAACCUGUCUCUACAAAAAAUACAAAAAUUAGCUGGGUGUGGUGGUAUGCAUCUGUAGUUCCAGCUACUCAGGAGGCUGAGGUGGGAGGAUCGCUUGAACUCAGGAGGUGGAGGUUGCAGUGAACAGAGAACGCACCGGUACCUGGACAACAAAGUGAGACCCUGUCAUAAAAUAAAAUAGUUAAACCCAGGCCAGGAGGGGUGGCUCAUGCCUGUAAUCCCAGCACUUUGGAAGGCCAAGGUAGGCUGAUCACGUGACGUUAGGAGGUUGAGACCAGCCUGGCCAACAUGGUGAAACCCCGUCUCUACUAAAAAUACAAAAAUUAGCCAAGCAUGGUGGCAGGCACCUGUAGUCCCAGCUACUCUGGAGGCUGAGACAGGAGAAUUACUAGAACCCGGGAGGCAGAGGUUGCAGUGAGCCAAGAUCUUACCAUUGCACUGCAGCCUGGGCAACAGAGUGACACUCUGUUGAAAAAAAAAAAAAAAGUUAAGCCCAAAAAGUAAGUAAGGAAGAGGUUUGGAAUUAGAUAUUUGUUGUAUGAAUGAAUGGGCUAAAGUGCAAAAGAACGGGCAGAAUAACUGAGCUGGUACAGAGGGAAAAAAUCACAUUUAAAAUCUAAAAAUAUCUGCUUCUUAGUUCAGGCUUUCCCACUUAGCAGCUUUGGCACCUUAGGAACACUUAACUUAUCUGAGCCUCUGUUACUUCUAAAAAGUGCAUGAAGUGCAGACUAAGACAUAGUUUUUUUGGCAAAAUUCAGUCAGACUACAUCAAGUAAACUCCCUAAGUCUCCUAGUAUAAUUCAUGGCACAAAAAAUUGGGGAAAAAACAGGGAGGAUAUGAUUAUAAGUUCAGUUUAUGUUUUUUGUUGAGUGAAUGUCUCCAGUCAUAUAGAUGCAAGUGUAGAUACACAGUAAGAGUAGUAUGAAUGGGAGGCACCUUGGAAGGCUAUUUCUUCCUUCAUUCAUUCAGUUGGUCACUCAGUGAACUAUCAUGAAUUGAGCACCACCUCUGUUUCUUAUCAACAAAGGAGACUGCGGAAAAGAAGAGUGACUAAGAUCUCUGAAGAAGGGAAAAGCUAGAUGACUGGGCCACAGGAGGAAAAAAAGCAGCAAGACAGUUACAGUUGUUUCUGGUCCCACUUUUAUAAACACACACGCACACACACAGACACACGCACACACACAAAAUCAUUUAAUCAUUUUUAAGUAUUUAAUCAUUUUUUAAAAAUCUGUGAUGCUUUACCUGGGCAGGUCUAGGCAGGUCCUCCUUUGCUGGGACGUGCCCUUUUCUGUCCCGGAAUACUCUAAACUUGACAUUUUGGCAGCGUGAAGUUUUCCCGUUGUGACUUUCUCCUUGUUCCCUUUUCUCCUCCUUCUUUGCAGAGAAUGAGUAGCCACUGCUGUUUGCCCUGGCCCAUCAAUGAGAAGAUCUGCUCUUAGAGCCCUGCUUUCCUGCUGAAGGCCCCGAAAUCACCUGUGUUCCAGGCCACCCGCUAACAAUAAAUAAUGCUCCCCUGAUGUGGGGAAUUAGCUCAAGUGGUAGAGCGCUUGCUUAGCAUGCAAGAGGUAGUGGGAUCGAUGCCCACAUUCUCCAAGCUUUAUUAUUUAGACAUCGUGUCUCCAAACACUCAGGUCUCCAAACCCAAGUUAGUGUCUGAGAACAGGAUGCUGCUUUGGUUCAAGACGUAGGAGCAGCAAUAAUAGAGGGCUGGUGAUGGCUCCCUCUUGGCAUUCAGUAUAGUGUAGAUCUACCAUGUAAUUAAUUCUCUGUUUCUUUGAGGAGCUGUGAAACCAAGGGACAUAUACAACUGCUCUUUUCUCCCUGUUUCUACCUGCAGCUUUGUCCUAAAUGUGAGACAAUUAUGAAAAGUGCAGGGCAGAGCCACUUGGGUAAAUACAGCCCCGGCUUUCUGCUCAGGGGACAGAGUUUGAGGCACUGCAGAGGAACCAGCCAAAGUAUGAGACCCAUAUGUUGAGAGUGACAGUGUAAAGUUCAAAAAAAUCAAAAUGUUUAAAGAUUUAUCAUGGGUCUUGAUGACAUGAUGGAAUCUCUCUACUCUCUGGACUGAUUAUGUGUGGUAAUAAAUUUACUUUUUAAAAGCCA
rnacentral:lncRNA from 1 species